rnacentral:pre_miRNA from 1 species
AACAGCAGCAGCAGCAGCAUAAGCAGAGAAGGGUCGAAAUGACAACAAAAAGUGUACUUUUUCUCUGCCGUACUGCUGCUGCUUCGCUACG